UGUUUUAUAUGUAUACUUGAGCUUUGCUGUCCAAACAGUUCAUAUCAUAUGUUUCGCGUUGCGCAAGAUAACGUUUGGUUGUUGCGAAACACAGUUUCGUCAGCAUUUGGUUUCCUAUUCAGCUCAAAAUUACAUGACAGUUAUUGUGCUGCAUUUCUUAACACACCGUUAUGUACUGAAUGUGGUUAUGAUGACAAAAAGUAAAAACGUUACAUGAAGUUAUCUGUCAUAGCAGUCUAAGCGCUCGUCAAUGUAAUAUCCAAUCAAAUCAAAUAAUGCGGAAGACACUGGCCAAUCAUGUAAGAGAAGCUGGGCUUUACUGUUAACGGAAGUCGAGCAGUAGCUAAUCAAAGGAAAGAAGGCGGGCUUUCCUUACGAUCAAGGGCAAUGCAUUCAGGUUUAACUGUGCGAGAAAAGGUGUAAGCUAAGUAUCUAAACUUUAAUUGUUGACAACAGUUAGGAACAUUAAACAUGCGACAGUAAAAUACCGGGAUGCAAACAUUUAUAGAAAACUUAAGGAGUAAAUAAGGAGAAGGACAGAGACCAUGACAGGGGUGACAACAAAAGGAUAAAGACAGCAAGAGAGAUAGGACAAGAGGAUACUGCCAGGCCUGAAGGAGCUGACACUCAGGUAUGGAUUUACAUUUACAUUUAUGCAUUUGGCAGACGCUUUUAAGCGACUUACAUUGCUUUUACCCUAUACAUAGGCAUGUGCAAUCCCUGGGAUCGAACCCACAACAUUGCGUUGUUAACGCAAUGCUCUUACCACUGAGCUACAGGAAAACUAUUAAUUUUUAUUAAAAAUUAGUUAAUAAUAUAUUAAUAUAAUAUAAUUAAUAUAAUAUUCAGUUAUAUAGUACAUGUAAUGUACAUGGUCUAAACAAUAAAACCAAUUGUAAAGUGUUUUUUAACGUCUGUGCCAUACAGUAUUUAAAGAGUAAGUAGCAUGAGUUCAUGAAAAUUACAUUUCAUGCAGUGUGUUAUGUUGCCGUGUUUGAAAGUAAGCUGUCUGCCAAGUUGUAAGUCCGAAGGUGAAUAAAUAACUAAGUUAUUGGCUUGUAAAAAUGGGAGUCGACUCUGAAUCAUGCAAACAAGACAUGAGCUAGUCCGAGUCUCUAACCGCCGCGUAUCUACGUCACUACACAUAGUCCCCGCCUACGUUUUGCUGGGACUGCCGCGAAAACUUCACUAGUCUCCUCCCCCAAAACACUGUCGCUAGUUCCUGAUGCGUGUGUAUCAUGUCUAGAACCUACGGAGCCCGUCUGGUCA